GACGAACGCUGGCGGCGUGCCUAAUACAUGCAAGUAGAACGCUGAAGAGAGGAGCUUGCUCUUCUUGGAUGAGUUGCGAACGGGUGAGUAACGCGUAGGUAACCUGCCUGGUAGCGGGGGAUAACUAUUGGAAACGAUAGCUAAUACCGCAUGAUAUUAAUUGUCGCAUGAUAAUUAAUUGAAAGAUGCAAUUGCAUCACUACCAGAUGGACCUGCGUUGUAUUAGCUAGUUGGUGAGGUAACGGCUCACCAAGGCGACGAUACAUAGCCGACCUGAGAGGGUGAUCGGCCACACUGGGACUGAGACACGGCCCAGACUCCUACGGGAGGCAGCAGUAGGGAAUCUUCGGCAAUGGGGGGAACCCUGACCGAGCAACGCCGCGUGAGUGAAGAAGGUUUUCGGAUCGUAAAGCUCUGUUGUAAGAGAAGAACGGGUGUGAGAGUGGAAAGUUCACACUGUGACG
rnacentral:rRNA from 1 species